CCCGGCACAAGCGGUGGAGUAUGUGGUUUAAUUCGACGCAACGCGCAGAACCUUACCUAGGCUUGACAUCCGGGAAUUUGCUGGAAACAGUAAAGUGCUUUCAUUAGAAAGAGCCCGGUGACAGGUGCUGCAUGGCUGUCGUCAGCUCGUGUCGUGAGAUGUUGGGUUAAGUCCCGCAACGAGCGCAACCCUCGCCUUUAGUUGCCAGCAUUCAGUUGGGCACUCUAAAGGGACUGCCGGUGUCAAACCGGAGGAAGGUGGGGAUGACGUCAAGUCCUCAUGGCCUUUAUGUCUAGGGCUACACACGUACUACAAUGGCAGGUACAAAGGGCAGCGACACAGCGAUGUGAUGCGAAUCCCGAAAAGCCUGUCUCAGUCCGGAUUGGAGUCUGCAACUCGACUCCAUGAAGUUGGAAUCGCUAGUAAUCGCAGAUCAGCACGCUGCGGUGAAUACGUUCCCGGGCCUU
rnacentral:rRNA from 1 species